rnacentral:lncRNA from 1 species
CAUCAUAGAACAAUUCAUCAGCAGAGGUUCUAUUAUCAACUAAUACUUAUUUUAUAUCGUAUUUUGCUAUUGUCAUAAAAAAGACAACAGCAUUAUUACAAGAGUUUGAAUACCUUUGACAUCAUCCUCAGAAAAUAAAAUAGUAUUAUCUACGCGCUGACAUCUUGGAGAGCUCCCAGUUACUUCGGCUGCCUUCUCAGUUUCACCA